GACGAACGCUGGCGGCGUGCUUAACACAUGCAAGUCGAACGGUAAGGCCCUUCGGGGUACACGAGUGGCGAACGGGUGAGUAACACGUGGGUGAUCUGCCCUGCACUUCGGGAUAAGCCUGGGAAACUGGGUCUAAUACCGGAUAGGACCACUGCCUGCAUGGGUGGUGGUGGAAAGCUUUUGCGGUGUGGGAUGGGCCCGCGGCCUAUCAGCUUGUUGGUGGGGUGAUGGCCUACCAAGGCGACGACGGGUAGCCGGCCUGAGAGGGUGACCGGCCACAGUGGGACUGAGAUACGGCUCAGACUCCUACGGGAGGCAGCAGUGGGGAAUAUUGCACAAUGGGCGCAAGCCUGAGUCAGCGACGCCGCGUGAGGGAUGACGGCCUUCGGGUUGUAAACCUCUUUCAGCACCGACGAAGCGCAAGUGACGGUAGGUGCAGAAGAAGGACCGGCCAACUACGUGCCAGCAGCCGCGGUAA
rnacentral:rRNA from 1 species